rnacentral:rRNA from 1 species
AUUGAACGCUGGCGGCAAGCCUCAUACAUGCAAGUCGAGCGAGAACGUUACUUCGGUAGCUAGUAAAGCGGCGGACGGGUGAGUAACGCGUAGGAAUCUACCUUUCAGCGGGGGAUAGCUCGGGGAAACCCGAAUUAAUACCGCAUACACCCUAAGGGGGAAAGAGGGCCUAUCCUUGGAAGCUCUCGCUGUUAGAUGAGCCUGCGUGAGAUUAGUUUGUUGGUGGGGUAAUGGCCUACCAAGACUACGAUCUCUAGCUGGUCUGAGAGGACGAUCAGCCACACUGGGACUGAGACACGGCCCAGACUCCUACGGGAGGCAGCAGUAGGGAAUAUUGGACAAUGGGGGCAACCCUGAUCCAGCUAUGCCGCGUGUGUGAAGAAGGCUCUAGGGUUGUAAAGCACUUUAGGUAAGGACGAAAAGAAUAUAGUUAAUACCUAUAUUCCGUGACUUAACUUACAGAAUAAGGACCGGCUAACUCCGUGCCAGCCGCCGCCGUAACAC